rnacentral:rRNA from 1 species
CAGUCGCCGCGGUAAUACGGAGGGUGCAAGCGUUAAUCGGAAUUACUGGGCGUAAAGCGCACGCAGGCGGUCUGUCAAGUCAGAUGUGAAAUCCCCGGGCUUAACCUGGGAACUGCAUUUGAAACUGGCAGGCUAGAGUCUUGUAGAGGGGGGUAGAAUUCCAGGUGUAGCGGUGAAAUGCGUAGAGAUCUGGAGGAAUACCGAUGGCGAAGGCAGCCAUCUGGCCUAAUACUGACGCUGAGGUACGAAAGCAUGGGGAGCAAACAGGAUUAGAUACCCGGGUAGUCCCUGUCUCUUAUAC